rnacentral:rRNA from 1 species
GACUUGACAUCUCCUGAAUUACUCUUAAUCGAGGAAGUCCCUUCGGGGACAGGAAGACAGGUGGUGCAUGGUUGUCGUCAGCUCGUGUCGUGAGAUGUUGGGUUAAGUCCCGCAACGAGCGCAACCCUUAUUGUUAGUUGCUACUAUUAAGUUAAGCACUCUAACGAGACUGCCGCGGUUAACGUGGAGGAAGGUGGGGAUGACGUCAAAUCAUCAUGCCCCUUAUGUCUAGGGCUACACACGUGCUACAAUGGCUGGUACAACGAGCAGCAAACCCGCGAGGGGGAGCAAAACUUGAAAGCCAGUCCCAGUUCGGAUUGUAGGCUGAAACUCGCCUACAUGAAGUUGGAGUUGCUAGUAAUCGCGAAUCAGCAUGUCGCGGUGAAUACGUUCCCGGGUCUUGUACACACCGCCCGUCACACCAUGAGAGCCGGUAACACCCGAAGCCCGUGAGGUAACCGUAAGGAGCCAGCGGUCGAAGGUGGGAUUGGUGAUUGGGGUGAAGUCGUAACAAGGUAGCCGUAGGAGAACCUGCGGCUGGAUCACCUCCUUUCUA